rnacentral:rRNA from 1 species
AUUGAACGCUGGCGGCAGGCCUAACACAUGCAAGUCGAGCGCGCGGCGCACGGGUGAGUACUGUCUGGGAAACUGCCCGAUGGAGGGGGAUAACUACAGGAUACGGUAGCUAAUACCGCAUACCAUCAGAUGUGCCCAGAUGGGAGUAGCUCGUGGGUGGGGUAAAGGCUCACCUAGGCGACGAUACCUAGCGGGUCUGAGAGGAUGACCAGCAACACUGGAACUGAGACACGGUCCAGACUCCUACGGGAGGCAGCAGUGGGGAAUAUUGGACAAUGGGGGCAAUCCUGAUGCAGCCAUGCCGCGUGUGUGAAGAAGGCCUUCGGGUUGUAAAGCACUUUAAGCGGGGAGGCGUUACCCGCAGAAGAAGCACCGGCUAACUCCGUGCCAGCAGCCGCGGUAAUUC